rnacentral:rRNA from 1 species
UACGGAGGGGGCGAGCGUUAUUCGGAAUUACUGGGCGUAAAGCGUGCGCAGGCGGUUUGUUAAGUCAGGUGUGAAAUCCCCGAGCUCAACUUGGGAAUGGCGCUUGUUACUGGCAAGCUAGAGUGUGUCAGAGGGAGGUAGAAUUCCACGUGUAGCAGUGAAAUGCGUAGAGAUGUGGAGGAAUACCGAUGGCGAAGGCAGCCUCCUGGGAUAACACUGACGCUCAUGCACGAAAGCGUGGGGAGCAAACAGG